GAACGGUUGGCUCAGUGAAAGGAGCGCUCGCGCAGUACGCGAGAGGUCGCGGGUUCGAGUCCCGCAUCGUUCA